AGGGGAGAGACUUGACCCUGUUUCCUAGACCAUCUCUCAGCCAAGGUCCCCUGGAUGCUCCAGAAGCUUCCUGACCCUUCAGCUGACCUGGCACCUGAAAGCCCCAGCCCAUUCCAGAGUGCUUCCUGCCAGAUAACUUGCAGUGCCUGCCCCCAGCUCUUGGGUAAUAUGAUGCUCCCUGAAAUGUCUGUUUAUUCAGCUUCCCUAGCAUAGGAAAGAGCUUAAGAAAGUAAAGGUCUGCAGGUAGCAAGGAAAUGAAAUCUGACAAGACCCUGCUUCCUGGGCAGAGGUGCUUCCAUUCUGGGCACACAAGUCUUAAAUCUGUAGCUCUUUUGUGGCUAGUUCUUAGCUGCAUAUCCCAAUAUAAACACUUUGAAAUAGGACAUGCCAGUUUCCCCCAGUCCUUGCCUCCUCUGUCCUUCCUUCAUUCUUGCAUUCAAGAAAAAAAGAAAAAAAAAAAAUUAGGAGUUCCCGUCGUGGCACAGUGGUUAACAAAUCCUACUAGGAACCAUGAGGUUGCGGGUUUGAUCUCCGGUCUUGCUCAGUGGGUUAAGGAUCUGGCAUUGCCAUGAGCUGUGGUGUAGGUCGCAGAUGCGGCUUGGAUCCUGCAUUGCUGUGGCUCUGGCACAGGCCAGCGGCUACAGCUCCGAUUGGACCCCUAUCCUGGGAACCUCCAUAUGCCGCAGGAAGUGGCCCUAGAAAAGGCAAAAAAGACAAACAAAAAAAAAUUAUUAAGCACCUACUGUUCUUCAAGUCUUAAGCCCCAAGACCCUCAAAACAAAAAGACUCCCUCUGUCCUCCAGAAGCAUUCAGAACCCUGGAGAAUUGACCAGACAAGCCCACCAUCAUUGUUCCAAAGUGCAGUGGGCAAAGAGAGAAGGAGCUCUCUCAACUGCAAAAUGGGGGAAUCGUAGGCCCCCCCUGCACUGGCUUUUUGUGAGGGUUCAGUGAGGACAUGGAAGUCUAGGCUUGGACUGUGCCCAGCACACAGGAAGCUGCCAUCAGUGCUGGCCAUGCUGCUGCUACUGCUGAUGGUAAAGUUGAUGAUGAUGGAAGAGAUGACAGCAGUCAUCAUGACCCGUGGACACAUUGGGUUCCCUGCAUUCUCAGCCAGAACCCAGAUGUCCCUAAUCUGCUCCCCACCUUUCCUUGACUUUGGCUCCCCCGUGGCUUCCCCUAUACCCCUCUUUUCUUGGUGAUGCGCGAUCUGUGCUCCUGUCACUGGAUGCUCAGGUGGGUUUCUGCAUCCCUGUCGACACUGGCUUUGUCAUAAGCCUUAUAGAACUUUGGAGGGGCCCCUGCAAGUUCAUCCUCCCUGUCUUAUGUCCAUAGCUGGCCUGAGGUCUCCUCUGGGCUACCAGCCUCAGUUUGGUCCCUGGGUCAGCUCCAUCCAGGUUGCCUGAGCCCUGCACACCCAUGUCUGAUGCUUUGCUGCCCUGUAGUAGCUACUCACACCCUUGAGCAGCGAGAACAUCAGCUGCCUGACCUUGCUUUUGCUGGACUGAAGGAGGCUCAUGGAACUGGAUCUUUCUAUUUUAUUAAAUUUAUGUUUAUUUUAUUGUUUUCUUACUCAUGUCCUAACUGGAUCUUAGGAUGCCCAAGAAAGAGACCCAGUUUAGAAUAACCCUCUUCACAGACUUUCCUUGUUCUUCAAUUCUGUACUCCUUCCAUUUUUAUGGCACUCUUUUUCCUUUGAGGAAUUUUUAGAGGGCUGCUUCCUCCUAAAGAAACACCUUGACUUUUUUUUUCUCAGAGUCAGUAAUUGUGAUGCAAAGUGUUUGCCAAACAUUCACUAGGAGCCCUUUAAUGUUAUUAUUAUGGGGAACAAAAGUGAAAAAUAAUGGGCACUGUUUUUUUUUUUUUUUUUUACGUGAGAGAGAUGGGGUAAUGAGCUUAGGAAGAUAGAAUAUCUUUUCAGAAACCUUUGAAUUUGAUAAAAUGUGGAUUUCUUAAGAGAAAACACCUUUCUCUGCCUUAUCUUCUGAGUCUGUACUCCUUACAUAACUGUAUUACAGAUGGGUAGAUAGAUGGGUAGAUUCCAGAGCCUCCUGACUUUUUUUUUUCAGUACACACACACUCACUUGAAUAUUAUUAUUUUCAUAAACCCUCAUACUUCUUACAGAGCACUUUUAACUGACAAAAUAUUUUCCUAUUCACUGUCUCAUUUGAUCGCCACAGCAACCCUGGAAUUCAGGAUAAUAAUAGAAUGACAAAGCUUAAGUGAUCUUAGACUCACAACCUCCUUAUUUUGUAGGUCAAGAAUCCGAAUCUCAGAAAGACGUUUAGUUAGUGCAGAUGCUUUUGAUCUCAAAUGACAGUAACCCACGUCAAACUGAGUUAGCAAAAGGGGGACAAUAAUGACGCAUAAUAACCAAAAAGUCCAGGCUUUUAUGGUUUCAGGUGUGGAUGGAUCCAGAUGUUCUGACAACAUCUCCAGGAAUCUGUCACUCUCCAUCGUUGACUCUGUCUUGGCCUGGUUGAAAGACAGAGGAAAAGUCUUUCUUCCAAAGUCCUGAUAAAAUGUCAGCUCUAGGCAUGUAACCUCCCUUUCUUGGAAGGAGAAUAGCUUCUUUUUUAUAGUUCUAGCAAAAAUGCUGGGAUUGCAUCUCAUCAGCUUGGCUUGGAUGCCUGCUUAUUUCUGGACCAAUUUGUGUGGCUAAGGGAAGAGUGUCCUCUCCUUGGUCAGACCUGAUGCCAAGCCCUGGGAGGGUAGCGGGAGGGAGGGCCUGCCACACUCACAUCAUGUGGAAAGAGAAUAGGUCCUCAAAAGAAAAUCAAAGUGUUACUCUUCUUUAAAGGGGAAGGAAGACCUCAAUGCUGCAUAAGCCUAAGCAAUUCGUAAGGCUAGAUGGCAUUUUCUGUGAAGUGGUAGCAUAGUGUUUUGGUUGGAAUUCCGAACUGUGUAUUCUAAGUUGGAAUUUAUCCCCAGUGUACUUUUGCAGCAAAGAGAUCAUCUUAUUCACCUUUGUACUCGCUGGGCUCAUCACCGUGUCAGCAUGACAGAGGUGGCCCGGAGCAUUUAUCUAAGAAAUGGCCAGUCUGGAAGUUCCCGUCGUGGCACAGUGGUUAGUGAAUCCGACUAGGAACCGUGAGGUUUCGGGCGCGAUCCCUGGCCUUGCUCUGGACACAGCGUUGCCAUGAGCUGUGCCAUGAGCCUGGUGUAGGUCGCAGGUGCGGCUCAGAUCCCACGUUGCUGUGGCUGUGAUAUAGGCCAGUGGCUACAGCUCUGAUUGGACCUGUAGCCUGGGAACCUCCAUAUGCCAUGGGAGUGGCCUUAGAAAAG
rnacentral:lncRNA from 1 species